AUGUACGUAACAAAAGCUUUACAACACAAUACAACUAAGUCAAGCACAACUCUAACUUUAUACACAACUAUUACAUCUCUUUAAAAUUUACAUGUCCACUCUAUACUAUUACAAGCUCUUUUACUCUUUCUGUACUCUGCUGGACUGUCCCUGUACACUGUACACUGAACCUGCAAAACUGGGGUUAAGGGAGUGGGAUGAGCUCUAUAGCCCAGUGAGUAGAACAGUAAAACAUUUCAGUAAAAUAUGAUCUCAUGGAAUGCGUCAUAACACAAACAAUCCACAUCAAAGAUAAACCUGUCACCACAUAGUCCCAGUAACUCUGUGCCAGGGCGUAGAAUCGAGCACCUGGUCUUCCUGUGAUAUAUGUAUAUGUGUAUAUAACACCUCUGUACUUACCAUUGCCAGGGCGUAGUCAAAGGCUCCUAGACUUUACUAUAUACCUGCCAGGGCGUAGUCAAAGGCUCCUGGACUUCUCUAUACCUGCCAGGGCGUAGUCAAAGGCUCAUGGACUUCCUGUCUGGAACUAUUGGAUCAUUCAGCAUUUACCCACACCAACAAUGUAGCUAUACAAUGCAACAUCUUUGUGAGUUCUAAUGCAAUCAACCUAUUGCAUAAACAUGAUGCAUGAAAAAUGCUAAAAGCCGUUAAUGUCUGUCUUAAAAUGAGUUAUAAGUUUAGUUCCACUCACCUUUGGCUCUCUGGACUGACUGACUGUGCAAGCUCUGAAACUCUGAGCAGGACUCACUACUGCUCUCUCUGGUUCCUCUGGUCUGUAUAGGUACAGAUAAACUCAAAUGAGGGACCAAACUAGCUGUAACGACCCCAAAAAGGACCGUCACUGGCGCUAGGAUUCAGGUCGGCUUAAGGCCGCCAGAACCCGUAGCAAGCCUGCUAUACUCUCUGUGUACCUGUAAACCUCAUACAUGAUCAUACAUUUUCAGUGAAAAUAAAACUCUUUUCUGAACCAAGGCUCAACCUGUGCAUGCACUAUCUCUGUACUCUGUACUCAUGUACUCUGUACUCUGUAUCCCUGACUAGAGCUUGCUCUAGAUGGGUUAUCUCAUACCUGUUAAGCCUGGUUUUCACAUACAGGAAAACAUAUAUACAAAUACAGAUCAUGUACAAAACAUACAUCACUAGGUCACUAGGUCAAGCAACAACUAUUACAUCUCUUUACGAUUACAUGUCCACUCUACGCUAUUACAGAUCUCUUUACUUUUUCUGUACUCUGCUGGACUGUCCCUGUACACUGUACACUGAACCUGCAAAACUGGGGUUAAGGGAGUGGGAUGAGCUCUAUAGCCCAGUGAGUAGAACAAUAAAACAUCUCAGUAAAAUAUGA
rnacentral:lncRNA from 1 species